UACAGGGGGGGCAAGCGUUGUUCGGAAUUACUGGGCGUAAAGGGCUCGUAGGUGGCCAACUAAGUCAGACGUGAAAUCCCUCAGCUUAACUGGGGAACUGCGUCUGAUACUGGAUGGCUUGAGUUUGGGAGAGGGAUGCGGAAUUCCAGGUGUAGCGGUGAAAUGCGUAGAUAUCUGGAGGAACACCGGUGGCGAAGGCGGCAUCCUGGACCGGUAUUGACGCUGAGGAGCGAAAGCCAGGGGAGCAAACGGG
rnacentral:rRNA from 1 species